rnacentral:rRNA from 1 species
UACGGAGGGUGCGAGCGUUGUCCGGAAUUCAGUACGUGGGCGUAAAGGGCGGUCGUAGGCGGCCUGAUAAAGUAGGGGUGAAAUCCUGCGCUUAACCGCAGGGACUGCCUUCCUAAACUGUCGGGCUCGAGCACAAGUAGAGGCAGGUGGAAUUCCCGGUGUAGCGGAUGGAAUGCGUAGAGAUCGGGAAGAACAUCAGUGGCGAAGGCGGCCU